rnacentral:rRNA from 1 species
AUUGAACGCUGGCGGCAGGCCUAACACAUGCAAGUCGAGCGGCAGAAGAGAGCUUGCUCCUGGAUUCAGCUGCCGACGGGCGGGUAAUGCCUAGGAAUCUGCCUGUUAGUGUGGGCUAACGUCCGGACACGGGCGCUAAUACCGCAUAAGUCCUUAGGGCGUAAGUGUGGGAUCUUCGGACCUCCCGCUAUCAGAUGAUCCUAGGUCGAGUUAUCUAGUUGGUGGGGUAAAGGCCUACCAAGGCAACGAUCCGUAGCUGGUCUGAGAGGAUGAUCAGUCAAACUGGACCUGAGAAACGGUCAAGACCCCUACGGGAGGCAGCAGGGGGAAAUUUUGACAAUGGGGGGAAAGCAUGAUCAGGCAUAGCGGCGUGUGUGAAGAAGGUUUUCGGAUGGUAAAGCACUUUAUGGUGAGAGAAAAGGAAGUAAGUUAAUCCCUUGCUGUUUUGACGUAACCAAAAGAAUAAGAACCGGCUAACUCGGU